UACGGGGGGAGCAAGCGUUGUUCGGAUUUAUUGGGCGUAAAGAGCGCGCAGGCGGUCGGAUAAGUCGAAUGUGAAAGCCCCUGGCUCAACCAGGGAGGGUCAUUCGAUACUGUUCGACUCGAAGGCAGGAGAGGGAAGUGGAAUUCCGGGUGUAGUGGUGAAAUGCGUAGAUAUCCGGAGGAACACCAGUGGCGAAGGCGACUUUCUGGCCUGUUCUUGACGCUGAGGCGCGAAAGCUAGGGGAGCAAACGGG
rnacentral:rRNA from 1 species